AAAGUCGUAACAAGGUUUCCGUAGGUGAACCUGCGGAAGGAUCAUUAUUGAUUCAGAGAACGUGCUGGCUUCUUUCUGGAGGCAUAUUUGUGCACUCUCAAUCUCUUCUUGUCCCACCUGUGCAUGUUUUGAUGGGCGAGGGUUUUAUUGACCCUUUGCUCAUCGCUUUUACAUACACCUAUUUAUAAACAUCAUUUUGAUUGUAAAUGAAUUUAUAACAACUUUCAACAAUGGAUCUCUUGGUUCUC
rnacentral:misc_RNA from 1 species